UGAAAACUCAUAUAAAGUUCCGAACAAUUAGAGAUACGAGUUUACUGACCAUUGGAAAAUUAAGUCGGAUUAUAGCCCGUAUGCCCAAUCUCUCCUUCUCUCCCAGUUCUCCCUCUCACUGAAUAAUGAAAAGACCUUGUUUCACCAUUCACUUCUACGGCCGCGCAAUUCCGAGGUUCAGUCGUCACGCCGUUCAGUACUGCUAUCGACAGCAAGAUAAAAAAUUUCCACGAUUUUUCUAACUGUAUUUUAGUUCAGUAUUGAUUUCUAUUAGACUCUGUAAUAAUCAGUUGAUAUAAUAAUAUUAUGGUUAAUGAAAUUGUGUUUUUACUUUUCUUUUAUCCGAUUUUCUGUUCGCAUCAACUAUGGAUUAUGCCAUUAUAUCGCCUUACUAUAUCUGCAUAUGAAAUUACAUGUAUGUCUGGUUAUUUUCUAUAGACACUGCCCUCCUGGCAAAAAUCAAUGAAGAAAGUAAGUAUAGUUCUCUUUUAUGGAGAUAUUUAUAUUUUGUUACAAGUCUCAAAUAAUUAAUUGUCACGCUUUGCUUACUUUCAUUGGAAUUGGAUGGAAAUAUCACCUCUACAUGUAGUCGAACAACAUAUGAUAUGCAAAAUCCCCUUCCUGUUUUGAAUAGAUAAAUGGAUGUAUUGGGAAAUUCAGAUUUAAUUUUGCAGGUUAUAAAUUUUUUGGUGUUUACCAUUUACAUGAAUGAAGUGAUGUGGAUCAGCCGCACUGUCCUUACAAUGGAUAUAAGGUGUUUCGAAUAUUGGUAACUGUAGGUAGAACAAAAUGAAACUUUGUAUUGCAAAGUUCUUAAACUAAAUCAGAAAAAAAUUAAAAUGAUAGGUCUCGAGGGCUCCAAUUGUGUUGGUCUAGGUGAGUUCAGAUAUAUGGCAAUGUGAAAUGGAUUGAGACUUGACAAUAAAAAUUAUUCUUGAUCUCUUCAUUCUUAAGAAGAAGCUCUUCGUUAUUAUUUCAUUAUACUUUUCAUUUCAUCAGAACUGCAGAAACUUAAAAUGAAGUCUUGUAGUUUAGCAUAUAAUCUAGAUACAAAAGGCAAUUACUAACAAUAUCAGUAGAAUAAACUCCAAACAAAAUUUAAGGCAGGAAGUAAUGGUUAUUUCAUGGGCCAAGCUAUUCAAGUUCUAUGACGAUAUUGGCAAUAAAUAGACCAGAGGAAAGAACACAACACACGGAUUUCUUUGACAACUGCAUUCACAGAGUUGCAGGUUUUUUCUUUUGCUUUUGACCUUGUGGAUUUUAUUUGAAGAAUCAAGUUUAAUGUUCUCACUAAUGUGUUCCUGAUUACUGGGCUUUGGAUGAAGAUGCUGCUGAUGUAUGAAUUCUGCUGUUUAUGGUUGAUUUCUGUCUUGGUACUUUAUGAUGGCAUAUAAACUGUGGAAUCCCUGAACUAGUUUUAGUCUGUGAUUAAACUUUCCCAUUCAAGGUCUAAUACAUAGCAAUAUCUUUUCUUUUAAAGUACUGGACAUAUAAACUAACCAAUUUUAUAGCAUAUUGGAUAGACAAAAACUUCCUUUUCUAUUGUUUAUGAAAAUCCUCUAUUAAUAUUCUACCAAACUACAUAAGUUGGAGUUAUCUGCACAAGAUAUAGCAAGAAGAUUUCCACCAAUAUCAUUUUAUGGCACAUUAUAAUUGGCUUAACUUAUUUUACACACUUCUGAGGUUCACAUUCAUGCUAGGCACUUAUUUAGAUAAAUCUAUUAGUAGUACUUAAUUACAAUUGGUUGAGAAGUACAAGAAAUGAAGAAAAUGAUGGCAUUGGUAACAACUGCAUUUCCAGGUUAUAUGCUCAUCUGCUACUCUCUCUCUCUCUCACUUGCUUACACAUGCG
rnacentral:lncRNA from 1 species